rnacentral:misc_RNA from 1 species
GCCUACUGCUUGCCCGAUGGACUGCUGAACAACAUGAGAUCUUUGAGUAACAAACACCUCAUAACUUAAAGGGGAUCCAGAAGGUCCAUCUGGAGGUGCAGAAGCUCCAUGUGUGAGGGUGACUAUGGCGCUUCGCCAUAUUGAAGGGCCAAGACAACUUGUGAUAGUCUUCAGCAUAGGAAGAUCAUUGAGAUCUCUAGUUUGGGCAUCCAACCGAUCGACAUAGAGGUAAAUAUCAGGGGGAUUCUUCUUAGUCAACUUCUUUACUGAAGACAAGACACUGCGAUUGAAACCCUGUUCCAUCGCAGAGGACUUGAGGCCAGGUGUAUCAAACACCCGAAUCUUAACACCAUCUACAACACCACUGAUCUCUUUCACACUGGUGGUAGCAGGUCCAAAGGCAUCAAUUGAUGUUUUU